rnacentral:tRNA from 1 species
GCACCUAUAGUUUAACGGUUUAAAAUUAUUGUUUAGUAAUCAAUGGAUCAAGGUUCGAUUCCUUGUAGGUGCU